GACGAACGCUGGCGGCGUGCCUAAUACAUGCAAGUAGAACGCUGAAGCUUGGUGCUUGCACCGAGCGGAUGAGUUGCGAACGGGUGAGUAACGCGUAGGUAACCUGCCUGGUAGCGGGGGAUAUCUAUUGGAAACGAUAGCUAAUACCGCAUAAGAGUAGAUGUUGCAUGACAUUUGCUUAAAAGGUGCAAUUGCAUCACUACCAGAUGGACCUGCGUUGUAUUAGCUAGUUGGUGAGGUAACGGCUCACCAAGGCAACGAUACAUAGCCGACCUGAGAGGGUGAUCGGCCACACUGGGACUGAGACACGGCCCAGACUCCUACGGGAGGCAGCAGUAGGGAAUCUUCGGCAAUGGACGGAAGUCUGACCGAGCAACGCCGCGUGAGUGAAGAAGGUUUUCGGAUCGUAAAGCUCUGUUGUAAGAGAAGAACGAGUGUGAGAGUGGAAAGUUCACACUGUGACGGUAUCUUACCAGAAAGGGACGGCUAACUACGUG
rnacentral:rRNA from 1 species